AUGUCCACAUCACGUUGAAACACUGGUUCCUGUAAGAUCACCCAAGUUAAGCAAUGUCAAACCUGCUCAUUACCUAGAUGGGUGACCACUUGGGAAUACCAGGUGCUGUAAG